AUGGUCCACAUAUCAGAUAUUAAACUGAUAAGAACAGAUACUACACUUGAUCUUAGCCAAAAGGCGGAGAAAGGUAUGAGUUGCUAGCCACACCACCCCCUCCGUCUUGUAGCCUCGCGGACCCCUCAAUCCCUCUCGUUGCACGAUGUGGGACUAAACGAAACGACCAGCCUCUGCUCCUCGCACGCACCAGCACCGGGUUAG
rnacentral:rRNA from 1 species